GUCGUAACAAGGUUUCCGUAGGUGAACCUGCGGAAGGAUCAUUACCACAUAUCAUCGGGGGGGAAACUUCGGUUUCCCCUGUCUGAACCCUUGUCUUUUGCGUACUAUUUGUUUCCUCGGUGGGCUUGCCUGCCGAUAGGACAACCAUUAAACCUUUUGUAAUUGCAAUCAGCGUCAGAAAAACAUAAUAGUUACAACUUUCAACAACGGAUCUCUUGGUUCUGGCAUCGAUGAAGAACGCAGCGAAAUGCGAAAAGUAGUGUGAAUUGCAGAAUUCAGUGAAUCAUCGAAUCUUUGAACGCACAUUGCGCCCCUUGGUAUUCCAUGGGGCAUGCCUGUUCGAGCGUCAUUUUGUACCUUCAAAGCUCUUGCUUGGGUGUUGGGGUGUUUGUCCCCGCGAUUUUGGCGUGGACUCGCCUUCAAAAGCAAAUUGGCAGCCGGGCGUACUAGCCUGGGAAGCGCAGCACAUUUUGCGCAUCUCGUCUUGAACGCUUGCGUCCAUUAAGCCUAUACUUUUAACUCUUGACCUCGGAUCAGGUAGGGAUACCCGCUGAACUUAAGCAUAUCAAUAA
rnacentral:misc_RNA from 1 species